rnacentral:rRNA from 1 species
GUGAAGCCCAGCUUGCUGGGUGGAUCAGUGGCGAACGGGUGAGUAACACGUGAGCAAUCUGCCCCUGACUCUGGGAUAAGCGCUGGAAACGGCGUCUAAUACUGGAUACGAACCGUGGAGGCAUCUUCAACGGUUGGAAAGAUUUUUUGGUCAGGGAUGAGCUCGCGGCCUAUCAGCUUGUUGGUGAGGUAAUGGCUCACCAAGGCGUCGACGGGUAGCCGGCCUGAGAGGGUGACCGGCCACACUGGGACUGAGACACGGCCCAGACUCCUACGGGAGGCAGCAGUGGGGAAUAUUGCACAAUGGGCGAAAGCCUGAUGCAGCAACGCCGCGUGAGGGAUGACGGCCUUCGGGUUGUAAACCUCUUUUAGCAGGGAAGAAGCGAAAGUGACGGUACCUGCAGAAAAAGCGCCGGCUAACUACGUGCCAGCAGCCGCGGUAAUACGUAGGGCGCAAGCGUUAUCCGGAAUUAUUGGGCGUAAAGAGCUCGUAGGCGGUUUGUCGCGUCUGCUGUGAAAUCCCGAGGCUCAACUUCGGGUCUGCAGUGGGUACGGGCAGACUAGAGUGCGGUAGGGGAGAUUGGAAUUCCUGGUGUAGCGGUGGAAUGCGCAGAUAUCAGGAGGAACACCGAUGGCGAAGGCAGAUCUCUGGGCCGUAACUGACGCUGAGGAGCGAAAGGGUGGGGAGCAAACAGGCUUAGAUACCCUGGUAGUCCACCCCGUAAACGUUGGGAACUAGUUGUGGGGUCCAUUCCACGGAUUCCGUGACGCAGCUAACGCAUUAAGUUCCCCGCCUGGGGAGUACGGCCGCAAGGCUAAAACUCAAAGGAAUUGACGGGGACCCGCACAAGCGGCGGAGCAUGCGGAUUAAUUCGAUGCAACGCGAAGAACCUUACCAAGGCUUGACAUAUACGAGAACGCUGCAGAAAUGUAGAACUCUUUGGACACUCGUAAACAGGUGGUGCAUGGUUGUCGUCAGCUCGUGUCGUGAGAUGUUGGGUUAAGUCCCGCAACGAGCGCAACCCUCGUUCUAUGUUGCCAGCACGUAAUGGUGGGAACUCAUGGGAUACUGCCGGGGUCAACUCGGAGGAAGGUGGGGAUGACGUCAAAUCAUCAUGCCCCUUAUGUCUUGGGCUUCACGCAUGCUACAAUGGCCGGUACAAAGGGCUGCAAUACCGUGAGGUGGAGCGAAUCCCAAAAAGCCGGUCCCAGUUCGGAUUGAGGUCUGCAACUCGACCUCAUGAAGUCGGAGUCGCUAGUAAUCGCAGAUCAGCAACGCUGCGGUGAAUACGUUCCCGGGUCUUGUACACACCGCCCGUCAAGUCAUGAAAGUCGGUAACACCUGAAGCCGGUGGCCCAACCCUU